rnacentral:tRNA from 1 species
UCCCUGAUGGCUCAGAUGGUAAAGCGUCUGUCUACAAUGCAGGAGACCCAGGUUCCAUCCCUGGGUCGGGAA